rnacentral:rRNA from 1 species
GCGAAAGUCCCCUUCGGGGGACAAGUAGAGUGGCGCACGGGUGAGUAACACGUAGGUAAUCUACCUUUGGAUGGGGAAUAACAACCGGAAACGGUUGCUAAUACCGCAUAAUGCAGCGGCACCUAAUGGUGACAGUUGUUAAAGCGGGGGAUCGAAAGACCUCGCGUCUGAAGAGGAGCCUGCGGCGGAUUAGCUAGUUGGUAGGGUAACGGCCUACCAAGGCGACGAUCCGUAGCUGGUCUGAGAGGACGGCCAGCCACAAUGGCACUGACAUACGGGUCAGACUCCUACGGGAGGCAGCAGUCGGGAAUUUUGGGCAAUGGGCGAAAGCCUGACCCAGCAACGCCGCGUGAAGGAUGAAAUCCCUCGGGAUGUAAACUUCGCAAGAACGGGAAGAAUAAGUAGGGGACAAUACCCCCUAUGAUGACGGUACCGUUUGUAAGCUCCGGCUAACUCCGUGCCAGCAGCCGCGGUAAUACGGGGGGAGCAAGCGUUGUUCGGAUUUACUGGGCGUAAAGGGCGCGUAGGCGGCCAGUGCAAGUCAGUUGUGAAAUCUCCGAGCUUAACUCGGAAAGGUCAACUGAUACUGCUCGGCUAGAGUGCGGAAGGGGCAACUGGAAUUCUUGGUGUAGCGGUGAAAUGCGUAGAUAUCAAGAGGAACACCUGCGGCGAAGGCGGGUUGCUGGGCCGACACUGACGC